rnacentral:rRNA from 1 species
GCCUAAAGCGUCCGUAGCCGGCUCUGUAAGUUUUCGGUUAAAUCCAUAUGCUCAACAUAUGGGCCGCCGGGAAUACUGCAUAGCUAGGGAGUGGGAGAGGUAGACGGUACUCCGUAGGAAGGGGUAAAAUCCUUUGAUCUAUGGAUGACCACCUGUGGCGAAGGCGGUCUACCAGAACACGUUCGACGGUGAGGGAUGAAAGCUGGGGGAGCAAACCGGAUUAGAUACCCGGGUAGUCCCAGCUGUAAACUAUGCAAACUCAGUGAUGCAUUGGCUUGUGGCCAGUGCAGUGCCGCAGAGAAGUCGUUAAGUUUGCCGCCUGGGAAGUACGUACGCAAGUAUGAAACUUAAAGGAAUUGGCGGGGGAGCACCACAAGGGGUGAAGCCUGCGGUUCAAUUGGAGUCAACGCCAGAAAUCUUACCCGGAGAGACAGCAGGAUGAAGGUCAAGCUGAAGACUUUACCAGACAAGCUGAGAAGUGGUGCAUGGCCGUCGCCAGCUCGUGCCGUGAGGUGUCCUGUUAAGUCAGGUAACGAGCGAGAUCCUUGCCUCUAGUUGCCACCAUUACUCUCAGGAGUAGUGGGGCGAAUUAGCGGGACUGCCGUAGUUAAUACGGAGGAAGGAGAGGACCACGGCAGGUCAGUAUGCCCCGAA